rnacentral:rRNA from 1 species
UGGGGGAUAUUGCACAAUGGAGGAAACUCUGAUGCAGCGACGCCGCGUGAGUGAAGAAGUAUUUCGGUAUGUAAAGCUCUAUCAGUAGGGAAGAAAGACCUCGCAAGAGGGGAUGACGGUACCUGACUAAGAAGUCCCGGCUAACUACGUGCCAGCAGCCGCGGUAAUACGUAGGGGACAAGCGUUAUCCGGAUUUACUGGGUGUAAAGGGAGCGCAGACGGAACGGCAAGUCUGAAGUGAAAGCCCGGGGCUCAACCCCGGGACUGCUUUGGAAACUGUCGAUCUAGAGUACUGGAAGGGUAAGCGGAAUUCCUGGUGUAGCGGUGAAAUGCGUAGAUAUCAGGAGGAACACCGGUGGCGAAGGCGGCUUACUGGACAGCAACUGACGUUGAGGCUCGAAAGCGUGGGGAGCAAACAGGAUUAGAUACCCUGGUA